AGGUGUCGCAAGACUUAAUAGGAAAUCCGGUACAAGCUGGAGCGAUCCCGCCACUGUAAGAGGAGUCCGCCAAAAAAUACCACUGGGAAGUUUUCUGGGAAGGUUUGGAUGGGCGAUGAAUCUGAGCUAGGAGAACUGCCUGUUUUA
rnacentral:ncRNA from 1 species